GCCUGGGUGGCUUAGUCGGUUAAGCGUCUGACUUCAGCUCAGGUCAUGAUCUCACAGUCCGUGAGUUCGAGCCCCACGCUAGGCU
rnacentral:tRNA from 1 species